GUGAGGAAUAUUGGUCAAUGGGCGAGAGCCUGAACCAGCCAAGUCGCGUGAAGGAUGAAGGUUUUAUGAAUUGUAAACUUCUUUUGCAGGGGAAUAAAGUACGGUACGUGUACCGUUUUGUAUGUACUCUGCGAAUAAGGAUCGGCUAACUCCGUGCCAGCAGCCGCGGUAAUACGGAGGAUCCAAGCGUUAUCCGGAUUUAUUGGGUUUAAAGGGUGCGCAGGCGGGUUGAUAAGUCAGCGGUGAAAGUUUGCAGCUUAACUGUAAAAUUGCCGUUGAUACUGUCGAUCUUGAGUGCAAAUGAGGUAAGCGGAAUGUGUUGUGUAGCGGUGAAAUGCUUAGAUAUAACACAGAACACCGAGUGCUAAGGCAGCUUACUGGGAUGCAACUGACGCUCAUGCACGAAAGCGUGGGGAUCAAACAGGAUUAGAAACCCUGGUAGUCC
rnacentral:rRNA from 1 species